rnacentral:rRNA from 1 species
UGCGGAGGAUGCAAGCGUUAUCCGGAUUCAUUGGGUUUAAAGGGUGCGCAGGCGGAAUAAUAAGUCAGUGGUGAAAGCCUACAGCUUAACUGUAGAACUGCCAUUGAUACUGUCAUUCUUGAGUAUUGUUGAGGUAGGCGGAAUGUGUCAUGUAGCGGUGAAAUGCUUAGAUAUGACACAGAACACCGAUCGCGAAGGCAGCUUACCAAGCAAUAACUGACGCUCAUGCACGAAAGCGUGGGGAGUCAAACAGGAUUAG